UUUUUUUAAAUGUGUACUAAAUGUGUUUAUACUUAUUUUUAGACAUUGGGUUCUUCAGUGAAGGAAAAAUUACAACAGUGGAAUCUCAUACAUUAAACAUCCACAUGCCAAUUAACUGAAAUAUUUCAAGAGGAAGGAGUCAAUGAAGGAAGUUUUAUGCGACCGGAUGACACCAGCAUUGCUGCACUAACUCCAAGAGAAGAAGUUUUUAGCAUUUUCAACGGUGAAACAGUGGAACAGAAGACCUUACUACAAGCAGUGGAUCUGUGUUUCAGACAUUUCUACAUUUAUGACAUCUACUACCCAAAGCUCCUCUGCACCCAUUUGCAGCACACAGUCUUUAAUAUUCCAGGAGUUCUUUCAACACAUUACCUCUUCCUUAGAAACUUUGUAUUUAUUGAUCCGUAAAAACUUUUUAUGUUGCUGAUUAUCAGCAAGUCCAGCAGCCAGCAGAUUUACUUUGUUUUAUUAUUAUUAUUAUUAUUAUUAUUAUUACUUGUGUUUAUGAUUUUUUAUUUUUGUUUUAUUGAUAAAAGUUUGUAUGUUAUGUUUGUUUUAUUUGUGCACAUUUGUGUAUGUGUUGAUAUAAAUAAAUAUGAAUUGAUACACAUUUAUGACCCUGGACUACAAAACCGGUCAUAAGUAUCAUGGGUACAUUUGUAGAAAUAGCCAAAAUUGCAUUGUAUGGGUCAAAAUUAUCAAAUUUUCUUUCAUGCCAAAAAUCAUUAGAAUAUUAAGUAAAGAUCAUGUUCCAUGGAGAUAUUUUGUAAAUCUCCUACCAUAAGUAUAUUGAAACUGAAUUUAUUAUUAGUAAUAUGUGUUGCUAAUAACUUCACUUGGACAACUUUAAAGGCAAUUUUCUCAAUAUUUAGAUUUUUUU